ensembl:snRNA U6 U6 spliceosomal RNA
UCAUUUUUGCAUGCAUAUUCUGAACUUGGAAGAGUAUAGGGAUUAGCACAGCCCUGUGCAAGGAUGACACCCAAAUUUAUGAGUUGUUUCACAUCAUG